GAACACACUGGGGAAAGUAUUAGCAUACAUAUAUUUUUUUAAGUAUUAACAGAAUAUUUAAUAUUAUAUUAUUGGGCAAGAUCACGUCGAUUAGAGGUUCUGAAUGUCGGCUUUGAUUAAUUUUCGAUUACUGUCAACUAUCGCUUGGCAAUUAAUCUCUAAAAUUUCCGAUUCCUCUUCAAGUUUCAAGAUUGACACAUCACAGAAAUACAUAUUUAAACUUAUGGUAAUUUAUGGCUGUCGUCCUGUUUUAAAAAGACGCCAAUCGGCUAAAAUAGUUGGAUAGGAGGAAGAGAUCGAGAGACGAAGAGCACGUGACAUUGAAUUCGGAAAACAAUAAAGCCCCCCCCCCCUUGGGCUUGGCGCCGAUUCUGGCAGGCUGUCACCUCGGAACGAUAAUCAACGGUGGGAUUGCGAGCUACAGCCGCGCCUCGCAGUGCCUCCGGAGCAGCUGCUGGCAGAUGUUGGUGCCCCUAGCUGGCAGGUGGGGCCACAGCACACACGGGCAAGGUGUUUGCCGUGAUGCCACACAAGCUGGCUGGCGGGUUACGCCCCGCCCCCCCUUCCGGCACUAUACCCCGCUCUCUGCGGUCCGUAGGCACCAGACAGAUGUGACGUCAGGAUGCCGAUGGCGAGAGGGACCCCGGCAGAUGACAUUCUCGAGCGAAACCGCACAUCCCAGCGCAUUUUAACCGGAUUAGAAUUAAAACUGCGUAUGUGGUAUAUUCUGGAAGCGGAAAAACAAUACUGGCAAAAAAGAAGCCAAACGAUCUUUUAUUGCAUGGGGUGGGACACUGAAGUUAAAUUUCGUUCUUAAUAGUGCAAAUGAAAAACAAUAAAUAGAAUAUAAAUACUGGUCAAUACAAACAGCAGAAGCAUGACAUUUUAAGACAUGGACAUUAAGACACAGACAAAGAGAUACUGUUAGCCUUUCAUUUCCUUUCAGUUAUUUAUAAUAUGUUAAUUUUUAAAACAACACAAGGACUCAGUUGACCCCUGUAUCAAAUAUAUUAAUAUAGAAUUAGUGAGAGCUGCAUUUUGGAAAACAACCUGUCAGAAUUCAUUAUGAGAGGUACUUUCAAAUUAUAUAUAUAAAAAAAUAGUAGGCAUAUAUGAUUUCUGUAAUUUAAAGAGUGUAAAGUUCUCAGAGCUGCAGCGCUGUUUGUGGAGAUGACAAUACAGUAUCUCCCCAUGCUUACUGCAGUGCCCUUGGCGUGAGAGUGAACGGUGCUGAACCUGCACACCACUCACAGAGAACCAUGACAUUACACUUCCCAGGAUGGUCUCCAGACCCCCGCAAAACUAACUGGAUAAACGGUACGGACACAGAUGGAAUAACAUCUUUCCCACCGCCGUUUUAAAAGGCAGAGUCGUAGAUAAAUCACUUUAUAUAAAUCCAGAGUCGCAGCCAUGUAAAUCACAUACAUGCAUUACUACUAUAAAUAUUUAUAACCCAAAAACGUUUCAUGUGCCACGGCAAACCCUCCUUCAAAACCACUGGUGUAGACCCCUUAAAUAAUCAGUGACAGUCUGCUCAGUGUAACACGUGGACAUUUAGUGUAACUGUUGAGUUGUGAUGUACAUUUGCUCUUCACUGCUCUGAUGCAGCCUCCAAGUCUGUGGGGCUUGUCUUCGGCCUAUGGAGGGCAAUUUGAUUUUUCUCAUAUGUACGUGCUCAGGUACCACACUGUAUGAAUUGUUCUUACUAUUUUAUUCAUAAUGAGAGUGUUAAUGGGAACAAAUAAUAAUGACCACGUGUUUCAAAAUACUAAUGAAUAUAUCAGGUAAAAAAAUGCUCCGCCUAAGUUCCUUAAGUGUGUCGGGCCAACCAGAUGAUGGCAUUUCACAUCGGUCCACUAGAGGGCGCAAGAGAGUAAAUUAUCAUUAAUAAGAGUAGCCGGGUCCAACGGUAGAGUCAAUUUACUGUAAACGGCAGUGUGAACAUUAAAAAAAAAAGAAAAACAUUACUUUAAAAUAUACAAUGAAUGAAUUACGUUCAUGCAAAUAACCUGUAAAAACCAGGAUUAGGUUUUCUUUUUCAUUGUCAUUUAUGUCUAACCAAAUUAGUUUUAAGAAGUUACAUAACAGAAAAAAAGGUUUUAAAACUCAAUCACCCUGUUUCUCCCCUCCCUUACAUAUACAUGAAAGGAUUCUCAUUUACUUUUUUGUUAUAGUCAGUAUAAUCUACUAAACAGCCUCUUUCCAAACCUGGCAAUAACAGCAAAUUCAUAAAAGCAGGCACAGAACAAACCAGAAGUUUUCAAACAAGUAUUAUAAAACAAGACCUGGGGA